GUAGGGUGCGAGCGUUAAUCGGAAUUACUGGGCGUAAAGCGUGCGCAGGCGGUUAUGUAAGACAGAUGUGAAAUCCCCGGGCUCAACCUGGGAACUGCAUUUGUGACUGCAUGGCUAGAGUACGGUAGAGGGGGAUGGAAUUCCGCGUGUAGCAGUGAAAUGCGUAGAUAUGCGGAGGAACGCCGAUGGCGAAGGCAAUCCCCUGGACCUGUACUGACGCUCAUGCACGAAAGCGUGGGGAGCAAACAGGAUUAGAUACCCUGGUAGUCCCACGCCCCUAAACGAUGUCAACUGGUUGUUGGGAAUUAGUUUUUCUCAGUAACGAAGCUAACGCGUGAAGUUGACCGCCUGGGAGUACGGCCGCAAGGUUG
rnacentral:rRNA from 1 species